rnacentral:ncRNA from 1 species
AAUUAUAAAGCGCCAGGGCCAAUUGGUUAGUGCAAAUUGGUUGACGAGGUCUAGGGUUAUCGAAAGAUUCGGCGGAUGCCCUAGUGGCUUUUACUUAAGGCCAUAUUAUUAAUUAAAAACUGAUAGUAAUAUCAGAACAGAAAUUAGUAU